rnacentral:rRNA from 1 species
AGAAUCAACGCUGGCGGCGUGCCUAACACAUGCAAGUCGAACGCGAAGCCCGCCUUCGGGGGGGUGGUAGCGUGGCGCACGGGUGAGUAACACGUGGGUAAUCUGCCUUCGGGUGGGGGAUAACGGCGCGAAAGCGUCGCUAAUACCGCAUAACGCAGCGGCACCACAUGGUGACAGUUGUUAAAGGGGGGGAUCCUUUCGGGGACCUCCCGCCGGAAGAGGAGCCCGCGCUCGAUUAGCUAGUUGGUGAGGUAAUGGCUCACCAAGGCAGUGAUCGAUA